CCAAGGUUCGAAGUCGACGCUUCUCGGAAACCACCCCAGCGGUGAUAGGGCCCCCGCGGUUUCCCGCCUACGCGGAUGCACAUUUUGUUUCAGCCUGUACGCACCAGUGGAUGCCGCAAGAGCCGCCAGGAGUUGCAGCGACGCCUGCAAAGAAUGUAACACGCCUUUUUCGCUCGUCAUCACCGUACACCCAUGCCCGAGCCGUCAAUGCAGGGGAAGGGCAGUCCCGGAGUCUCUGUCUAGUUUGAUGAAAUGAGGCGUGUCGUCAGACCGGGCGGAUUUCCACUAUGUUCAAUAGAGUACGCCGCACAUUAGAAAGAAAUGCAUGGCGCAGGCAAACUUUGGAACGGCGAACUGGCUAAUCGCAGGAGCAGCGCGCACUCCUCCCUUCAACUGAGGGAUUGAAAUGAUUCUCUACUCUGCUGCGAUCCAGUCAGUAUGUGCUCAGUGCCCCAACGGAGCAUAUGAAUGUAGUCGGGGCCCGAUCAAUCAUAUCGCUUCAUGCCUUGGGGAUUUCUGAUCGAAUCGGAGCCGGACAAUCCAUCUGGACAAGUGUACAAACCUACGUCGUGGCACGUGUGCAGUGUGGCGCGCGCCCGGUGUGCCACGGCUACCUCGCGGGAUUCACAGCUAAGUUCGAUUGACACGUUUUGGCCGGUGAUGUGGAAUGAACUUUUCGUGGACCCAACAGACCAGCCCAGCAUGGAUACACGUGCCGUGUUUCGCAGACAGUGAGUUGCGGAGCCGCUGGGUGAGCGGCCCUAACUGAGAAGUUCGGCAUCGCCGGUGACCGAACCCAACUCGCCGAAACGGAGCCGUCACCUUUGAGGCUGCGUGGCCUUGCCAAAUGCCUGAGCUACGGCUCAGACUGGCUGUGUCUCAAUGCAUUCGCUCGU
rnacentral:lncRNA from 1 species